CCCGACUGGUGUCAGAUUGGAUCAAUUGAUUGUAAAGAUAACUUUAUAUACAAAUCGUACUGCAGUGAAUAUUUUGUUCGUAAUAUGCAAUGGCAAACGCAAGAUCAUUAGACGAAGUUAAGAAAUUGGUCAGAAAUGUCGAUCUCCUAAUUUACGCUCCACCUGCCUAUGGCAAAACAGCUUAUCAGACGAACCGGCGAAAGCAGUUUGAUCUGUCUGUAUUUGAUACAGACGAUCUGGACUGUCCUGAGAAUAGCAAUCUUGAGGUUUUAAUUACUAAUUAUCACCAAUUGAUUCCGACCCUUCAGAGCCAACUCGUGAUAGCAUUUGUUCCUUCCGAGGAGCAGUUUAAACGUGGUUGUGAAUUUAGGGGAUUAAAGUACCUACCAUCAUGGUACACCGACGUACUUGACUCUCUUAAACAGGCCGGAUCUGAUAAGAACAUUAUCCUUGUGAACUCUGGUGCUCCGAUACUAUUUUAAGAGCAUUGCACUCGUGUGCAAUGGCAAUUUGGGAAUGUGAAGAACUUCCACCAGUACCAUCUCCUCCUGAUUCACCUCAGAAGGUCGUCACACAUACGAAAACCCUAGUAUUAGUAGGCGAGGGGAUUUUGGAACCAAGAAUUGUUGAGGUUAUUGCUCCUAUUCAACCGGGCUCCCAGCUAAUGUAUCGCGAUGACGUACAGGAAUCUGAACUCGAUGACAUUUGUUUAGAGAUUCAGAAUAAUGAACAGCGACCGUCCUCUCCAGAUAAAGUCAGCUCGACAUCUACACCACCGGUGAAGAAGCUGUCACACACACACACACACACUAACAUAUUGAGGCGGAAUUUUAACAAGAAGAAGACAUUUCACAAAAAGACAAGUACAAUUAAUAAAUAAUAAUUUCUUCUAAUUUAAGAGCAAUUAUAAGACAAAGUAUAACAAAGGGACUACAUGGAGAAGAUCUACACAGCUAAAACAACAAAUGAAAAAAAUGUCAACAAAAACCAACUAUAACAAACGGACGAAAUUGGCCAAACAAAAAGUGAACACGGAAAUUAGGAAUAGAAAUGUUUGUCAAUAGUUCUACUGCUUUUUAUACCCUUCACCUUCGUGAGAAGGGUAUAUAUAAAUUUGUGAUUCCGUUUGUAAUUUCCACAAUAUAAUUUUCCGGCCCUAUAAAGUAUAUCUAUUCUGGAUCCUUAUAGAUAGCGGAGUCUUUUAAACCAUGUCCGUCUGUUGAAAUCAACUUUCCGAUGCCCCCAAAUAACUUACAUACUCGAUUCAUACAUCAAUAUCUCCGGAAUUCUUGCGGCUCGGUUGCUAUUUAAAAUCGAUCCACAAAUGGCUGGGAAAAAACCAGGACGACCUUGGAUUACCAAGUCAUUAAUAUAGACAAUAUGGAUAUCUAAUGAUGUAUAUUUCAAAGAUCUUUGCAACGACGUAUUUAAGAACAUAGUAAGUUGGAUCUACAAUGGCUCAAAUCGGAAAAAAUAUUUUUAACAAUUUUUUUUCGCUAAAUAUUAAAAAAAAAACAAGUAAGAGAGCUAUAUCUUGAAGGGUAUACCAAAUUAUACUUAAAAAUAUUUUAAGGUAAACAAAAUUUAAUUUUUAUUUUCGAAAUUUUUUUAUAAAAGUUUUUUUUUAAAAUUUUGUCUUUUCGAAAUUGUUUUUUAAUUUUUUUUAAAAAAAAGUUUUUUCCAAUUUUUUUUUAAAAAAAAUAUUUAUGACAAGAAACAAUUUUUGAAGAAAAUAAAUUCGGGUGAAAAAAUAUUUACCGAUUUUGACCCAUUGAAGUUCCAACUUACUAUAGCUUUAUAUAUAUCGUUGCAAUGGACUUUAAAAUAUCUAACAUUAGAUAUCCAUAUUGUCUAAAUAGGCCAAAAAUCGAGGAUUUUUCUUGAUAUCUCAGGCAUUUGUAGGCCGAUUUUGUCGAUAGCAACCGAGUCGGAAGAAUUCCCGACAUAUUGAUGUAUGAAUCAUGUAUGUAAGUUAUUUAGGGGCUACGGGAGGUUGAUUUCAACAUACAGACGGACAUGGCUUUAUCGACUUCGCUAUCUUCGCUAUUUAUACUUUGUGGGGUCCCAACUGAAAAAUGUAGAAAUUACAAACGGAAUGACAAACUUAUAUAUGGCAAAGGUUAUAAAAAUUAAAAAAAAAAAAAUUAAAUUUAAAAAAACGUUUUAAAAUUAAAAAAAAAAAAUUUAAAAUUUAAAAAAAACUAAAAAAUUAAAAAAAAAACUAUUUUAAAAAAAUUCGAAAAAAAUUAAACAAACAACUGGAAAAAAUAAAUUUUGUUUACCUAAAAAUAUUUCAAAUUUUUAUUUUGAAAUAUAAUUUGAUGAAGGGUAUAUAAGAUUCGGCACAGCCAAAUAUAGCUACUCUCUUUUUCAUUAUAAAUUAAUUUAUAGGCUUAAUUCCAUUGUACUUCAAAUAUAUUGAAUUCAUUCCUUUCAGAAUUCAUUCUUUAUAGAAAUAUUUGCUUAUUGAAUCAUUAAAAUUUUCUUGAAAUCAAAUCCAUUACAAAAUAGCUUUAAAAAAGUAUUGAAUGAUUCAAAAAUAAAAAGUUGGUCUUAAAUGAAACUGAAUUUAA